UACAGAGGUCUCAAGCGUUGUUCGGAUUCAUUGGGCGUAAAGGGUGCGUAGGCGGCGCGGUAAGUCGGGUGUGAAAUUUCGAGGCUUAACUUCGAAACUGCAUUCGAUACUGCCGUGCUAGAGGACUGGAGAGGAGACUGGAAUUCAUGGUGUAGCAGUGAAAUGCGUAGAGAUCAUGAGGAAGACCAGUGGCGAGGCGGGUCUCUGGACAGUUCCUGACACUGAGACACGAAGGCCAGGGGAGCAAACGGG
rnacentral:rRNA from 1 species